rnacentral:rRNA from 1 species
CCCGUAACGAGCUUCACCCUUGUCCUUAGUUACCAGCACGUUAUGGUGGGCACUCUAAGGAGACUGCCGGUGACAAACCGGAUGAAGGUGGGGAUGACGUCAAGUCAUCAUGGCCCUUACGGCCUGGGCUACACACGUGCUACAAUGGUCGGUACAGAGGGUUGCCAAGCCGCGAGGUGGAGCUAAUCUCACAAAACCGAUCGUAGUCCGGUUCGCAUUCUGCAACUCGACUGCGUGAAGUCGGAAUCUCUUGUAAUCGCAAAUUAGAAUGUUGCGGUG